UACGUAGGGGGCAAGCGUUGUCCGGAAUCAUUGGGCGUAAAGCGCGUGUAGGCGGUCCGGUAAGUCCGCUGUGAAAGUCGGGGGCUCAACCCUCGGAUGCCGGUGGAUACUGUCGGGCUUGAGUACGGAAGAGGAGAGUGGAAUUCCUGGUGUAGCGGUGAAAUGCGCAGAUAUCAGGAAGAACACCCGUGGCGAAGGCGGCUCUCUGGGACGGUACUGACGCUGAGACGCGAAAGCGUGGGGAGCGAACAGG
rnacentral:rRNA from 1 species